AAGGGAAUGCCAGGAAAAAAAGUGGGAAAAGGAGAUCUCGGAAUGUGUAAACCUUGACCUGGGCGAUAUAUCUGAACGAGCUUUGGACCUUCAGAGGGGGCUUGGGAAGUUCACAGAUAUAGCUCCAAAGGUGUUUGAGGACAUGAAGAAAUCAACACAAGGAAACAUUAAUUCCAGAGCGAACCUUAAUACUUCAGUGUUAAUUUUUAAAACCAUGUACAACGUUUCCUUGUCAAAGAAUGAAUCAAUUGAGGGAGAGUCGUUACUAACUGAUAUUCUGACAUCUGCAAGCAACAUAAUAAAUGACUCACUGAAGGGUUCCUGGGAUGUUAAAAUAGCUGCUGACUACCUGAU